GAUGAACGCUGGCGGCGUGCCUAAUACAUGCAAGUCGAGCGAACAGACGAGGAGCUUGCUCCUCUGACGUUAGCGGCGGACGGGUGAGUAACACGUGGAUAACCUACCUAUAAGACUGGGAUAACUUCGGGAAACCGGAGCUAAUACCGGAUAAUAUAUUGAACCGCAUGGUUCAAUAGUGAAAGACGGUUUUGCUGUCACUUAUAGAUGGAUCCGCGCCGCAUUAGCUAGUUGGUAAGGUAACGGCUUACCAAGGCAACGAUGCGUAGCCGACCUGAGAGGGUGGUAGGCCACACUGGAGCUGAGACACGGUCCAGACUCCUACGGGAGGCAGCAGUAGGGAAUCUUCCGCAAUGGGCGAAAGCCUGACGGAGCAACGCCGCGUGAGUGAUGAAGGUCUUCGGAUCGUAAAACUCUGUUAUUAGGGAAGAACAAAUGUGUAAGUAACUAUGCACGUCUUGACGGUACCUAAUCAGAAAGCCACGGCUAACUACGUG
rnacentral:rRNA from 1 species